UACGGGGGGGGGCAAGCGUUGUCCGGAUUUAUUGGGCGUAAAGAGCUCGUAGGCGGCUUAGUAAGUCGGAUGUGAAAAACUCGGGGCUCAACCCCGAGACGCCAUCCGAUACUGCUGUGGCUUGAGUCUGGUAGGGGAACACGGAAUUCCUGGUGUAGCGGUGAAAUGCGCAGAUAUCAGGAGGAACACCGAUGGCGAAGGCAGUGUUCUGGGCCAGUACUGACGCUGAGGAGCGAAAGCGUGGGAGCAAACAGG
rnacentral:rRNA from 1 species